UACGUAGGGGGCAAGCGUUGUCCGGAUUCAUUGGGCGUAAAGAGCGUGUAGGCGGCCAGGUAGGUCGGUUGUGAAAACUGGAGGCUCAACCUUCAGAGGUCGACCGAAACCAUCUGGCUAGAGUCCGGGAGAGGAGAGUGGAAUUCCUGGUGUAGCGGUGAAAUGCGCAGAUAUCAGGAAGAACACCCGUGGCGAAAGCGGCGCACUGGACCACAACUGACGCUGAGGCGCGAAAGCGUGGGGAGCAAACGGG
rnacentral:rRNA from 1 species